rnacentral:rRNA from 1 species
AGUUUGAUUAUGGCUCAGAUUGAACGCUGGCGGCAGGCCUAACACAUGCAAGUCGAGCGGAAACGAGUUAUCUGAACCUUCGGGGGACGAUAACGGCGUCGAGCGGCGGACGGGUGAGUAAUGCCUAGGAAAUUGCCCUGAUGUGGGGGAUAACCAUUGGAAACGAUGGCUAAUACCGCAUGAUGCCUACGGGUCAAAGAGGGGGACCUUCGGGCCUCUCCCGUCAGGAUAUGCCUAGGUGGGAUUAGCUAGUUGGUGAGGUAAGGGCUCACCAAGGCGACGAUCCCUAGCUGGUCUGAGAGGAUGAUCAGCCACACUGGAACUGAGACACGG